AGCCAGACUCCUACGGGAGGCAGCAGUGGGGAAUAUUGCACAAUGGGGGAAACCCUGAUGCAGCGACGCCGCGUGAGCGAUGAAGUAUUUCGGUAUGUAAAGCUCUAUCAGCAGGGAAGAAAAUGACGGUACCUGACUAAGAAGCCCCGGCUAACUACGUGCCAGCAGCCGCGGUAAUACGUAGGGGGCAAGCGUUAUCCGGAUUUACUGGGUGUAAAGGGAGCGUAGACGGCUGUGCAAGCCAGAUGUGAAAGCCCGGGGCUCAACCCCGGGACUGCAUUUGGAACUGUGUGGCUGGAGUGUCGGAGAGGCAGGCGGAAUUCCUAGUGUAGCGGUGAAAUGCGUAGAUAUUAGGAGGAACACCAGUGGCGAAGGCGGCCUGCUGGACGAUGACUGACGUUGAGGCUCGAAAGCGUGGGGAGCAAACAGGAUUAGAUACCCGAGUA
rnacentral:rRNA from 1 species